AGCAGCCGCGGUAAUUCCAGCUCCAAUAGCGUAUAUUAAAGUUGUUGCAGUUAAAAAGCUCGUAGUUGAAUUUCGGGAUCGAAUUGUUGGUCGUGCUUCGGUACGCACUGGCAUUAUCGGUUUCUACCUUCUGAAGAACCGCGAUGUCAUUAAUUUGGUGUCGUGGGGAAUCAGGACUGUUACUUUGAAAAAUUGAGUGUUUAAAGCAGGCUUACGCUUGAAUACAUUAGCAUGGAAUAAUGAAAUAGGACGUUUGAUUCUAUUUUGUUGGUUUCUAGGAUCGACGUAAUGAUUAAUAGGGAUAAUUGGGGGCAUUAGUAUUCAAUUGUCAGAGGUGAAAUUCUUGGAUUUAUUGAAGACUAACUACUGCGAAAGCAUUUGCCAAGGAUGUUUUCAUUAAUCAAGAACGAAAGUUAGGGGAUCGAAGACGAUCAGAUACCGUCGUAGUCUUAACCAUAAACUAUGCCGACUAGGGAUCGGAUGAUGUUAAUUUUUUAAUGUACUCAUUCGGCGCCUUACG
rnacentral:rRNA from 1 species